rnacentral:rRNA from 1 species
UACGUAGGGUGCAAGCGUUGUCCGGAAUUAUUGGGCGUAAAGAGCUCGUAGGCGGCUUGUCGCGUCGAAUGUGAAAUCUCGGGGCUCAACUCCGAGCUUGCAUUCGAUACGGGCAGGCUAGAGUUCGGUAGGGGAGACUGGAAUUCCUGGUGUAGCGGUGAAAUGCGCAGAUAUCGGGAGGAACACCGGUGGCGAAGGCGGUUCUCUGGGCCUGUACUGACGCUGAGGAGCGAAAGCGUGGGGAGCGAACAGG